AAGAAACCCUUUUAUUGUGGUUAAUGCUGUUUGCUAUUGCUUGAUAUCAAGUUUGUUCUUGAUGAUCUUUACUUGGUUAUAGCGAUAAAUUGGCAGUUGGACAAAUGACAUUGAGAUUAGAGCUUUUGCUUCCAUAUAUUCUUUUGAUUACAACUUGUGUUUUGUGUAUGUUCAUUGGCUUCCAUUUUGCUUGCUUUUGUUUGCAUAAUUUGGGGUUUCAUUUUAUUUUUUUGAG
rnacentral:misc_RNA from 1 species